CUGAAGGUGGAUUUAAACUCUGCCAUUUAUCCAAACGGGCCGCCAUCGAGUGCAUAAAAAAUGUCGCAUUUCGUUGAUACGAGGGAAAUGAUGCGUGGACCAGACGAUCCACCAGGCCAAGCUUCAGAGAAACCUUAUAUACCUUGCUGCCAUUGUUGAUUCUGAACCUCAAGCACCUGCUCUUCAUUCUCAGGCGGGAUGAUGCAUCAGCCAAAAGGUCAUUACAUGCAACAGCAGCACCAAUACCAUCAUCAGCACCAACAAGUUCUAAAACCCUAGUCCGAUUCAAUUUUCUUUUGCCUGAGGGGAUUGAGAUAAAGAGGAUUCUGGUUCGUGAUGACCGGACUAGUUGUAUGAAACCAGAUCUUCAUGUGACUUUGAAUUUCAAUAUCAAUCAGAAUGAUGAGAAGCUGAAAUCAGAUAGUGGGAAUAUAGAGAUGAGGAAGUUGUUUGGAUCUCGGCUUGUGAGCUAUUGUAAACCCAAUCCUCAUGUAUUAAUAUUUAUUGCGUCUACUAUUUGAUUUUGAAUUAGGUUUUGUUUGAUGC